rnacentral:rRNA from 1 species
UACGGGGGGGGCAAGCGUUGUUCGGAAUUACUGGGCGUAAAGGGCUCGUAGGCGGCCAACUAAGUCAGACGUGAAAUCCCUCGGCUUAACCGGGGAACUGCAUCUGAUACUGGAUGGCUUGAGAUUGGGAGAGGGACGCGGAAUUCCAGGUGUAGCGGUGAAAUGCGUAGAUAUCUGGAGGAACACCGGUGGCGAAGGCGGCAUCCUGGACCAACACUGACGCUGAGGAGCGAAAGCGUGGGUAGCAAACAGG